rnacentral:rRNA from 1 species
ACUCCUACGGGAGGCAGCAGUAGGGAAUCUUCCACAAUGGACGAAAGUCUGAUGGAGCAACGCCGCGUGAGUGAAGAAGGGUUUCGGCUCGUAAAACUCUGUUGUUAAAGAAGAACAUAUCUGAGAGUAACUGUUCAGGUAUUGACGGUAUUUAACCAGAAAGCCACGGCUAACUACGUGCCAGCAGCCGCGGUAAUACGUAGGUGGCAAGCGUUGUCCGGAUUUAUUGGGGCGUAAAGCGAGCGCAGGCGGUUUUUAAGUCUGAUGUGAAAGCCUUCGGCUCAACCGAAGAAGUGCAUCGGAAACUGGGAAACUUGAGUGCAGAAGAGGACAGUGGAACUCCAUGUGUAGCGGUGAAAUGCGUAGAUAUAUGGAAGAACACCAGUGGCGAAGGCGGCUGUCUGGUCUGUAACUGACGCUGAGGCUCGAAAGUAUGGGGUAGCAAACAGGAUUAGAUACCCUGGUAGGAUAGCG